rnacentral:tRNA from 1 species
UCUGGUUUAACAUAUAUUAGGUUAAUGUGAAAAAUUGUAAAUUUUUUUAAGGCAAGACCAUGCUAGCCAGGA